rnacentral:rRNA from 1 species
AUUGAACGCUGGCGGCAGGCCUAACACAUGCAAGUCGGACGGUAGCACAGAGGAGCUUGCUCCUCGGGUGACGAGUGGCGGACGGGUGAGUAAUGUCUGGGGAUCUGCCCGAUAGAGGGGGAUAACCACUGGAAACGGUGGCUAAUACCGUAUAACGUCGCAAGACCAAAGAGGGGGAACUUCGGGCCUCUCACUAUCGGAUGAACCCAGAUGGGAUUAGCUUGUAGGCGGGGUAAUGGCCCACCUAGGCGACUAUCCCUAGCUGGUCUGAGAGGAUGACCAGCAACACUGGAACUGUGAAACGGGCCAGACUCCAAAGGGAGGCAGCAGUGGGGAAUAUUGCACAAUGGGCGCAAGCCUGAUGCAGCCAGGCCGCGUGUAUGAAGAAAGCCUUCGAGUUGUAAAGUACUUUCAGCGGGGAGGAAGGCGAAAGGUUAAUAACCUUGUCGAUUGACGUUACCCGCAGAAGAAGCACCGGCUAACUCCGUGCCAGCCGCCGCGGUAA